CCUACGGGGGGCAGCAGUGAGGAAUAUUGGUCAAUGGGCGGGAGCCUGAACCAGCCAAGUCGCGUGAGGGAAGACGGUCCUAUGGAUUGUAAACCUCUUUAGGCGGGGAGCAAUGCCGGGCACGUGUGCCCGGAGGGAGAGUACCCGCAGAAUAAGCAUCGGCUAACUCCGUGCAAGCAGCCGCGGUAAUACGGAGGAUGCGAGCGUUAUCCGGAUUUAGUGGGUUUAAAGGGUGCGUAGGCGGAUGUUUAAGUCAGCGGUAAAAUGUCCGGGCUCAACCCGGGCCGGCCGUUGAAACUGGUGAUCUGGAGUGGGCGAGAAGUAGGCGGAAUGCGUGGUGUAGCGGUGAAAUGCAUAGAUAUCACGCAGAACUCCGAUUGCGAAGGCAGCAUACCGGCGCCCGACUGACGCUGAGGCACGAAAGCGUGGGGAUCGAACAGGAUUAGAUACCCUGGUAGUC
rnacentral:rRNA from 1 species